GAUGAACGUUGGCGGCGUGCCUAAUACAUGCAAGUCGAACGGAGAUUGUAGCAAUACGGUCUCAGUGGCGAACGGGUGAGUAACGCGUUGGUGACCUGCCCCGAAGUGUGGAAUAACAGAUCGAAAGAGCUGCUAAUACCGCAUAAUAUCCAGAAGAUUAGACGCUUUUGGAUUAAAGGAUUUAUUCGCUUCGGGAGGGGCCUGCGUCCCAUCAGCUAGUUGGUAAGGUAAUGGCUUACCAAGGCUAUGACGGGUAGGGGACCUGAGAGGGUGGCCCCCCACAAUGGAACUGAAACACGGUCCAUACACCUACGGGUGGCAGCAGUAGGGAAUAUUAGUAAUGGGCGAAAGCCUGAACUAGCAACGCCGCGUGUGCGAAGAAGGCCUUCGGGUUGUAAGGCACUUUUAGAGAGGAUGAGGAAGGACGGUACUCUCAGAAUAAGUACUCGGCUAACUACGUG
rnacentral:rRNA from 1 species